rnacentral:rRNA from 1 species
GACGAUCGCUGGCGGCGUGCUUAACACAUGCAAGUCGAACGGAAAGGCCCUGCUUGCAGGGUACUCGAGUGGCGAACGGGUGAGUAACACGUGGGUGAUCUGCCCUGCACUUCGGGAUAAGCCUGGGAAACUGGGUCUAAUACCGGAUAGGAGCCAUUUUUAGUGUGAUGGUUGGAAAGUUUUUUCGGUGUAGGAUGAGCUCGCGGCCUAUCAGCUUGUUGGUGGGGUAAUGGCCUACCAAGGCGGCGACGGGUAGCCGGCCUGAGAGGGUGGACGGCCACAUUGGGACUGAGAUACGGCCCAGACUCCUACGGGAGGCAGCAGUGGGGAAUAUUGCACAAUGGGCGCAAGCCUGAUGCAGCGACGCCGCGUGGGGGAUGACGGCCUUCGGGUUGUAAACUCCUUUCGCUAGGGACGAAGCUUUUUGUGACGGUACCUAGAGAAGAAGCACCGGCUAACUACGUG